AGGCCCUGUUUUUAGGAGAACCCAAGAGAAAAAUGACAGGGAUCCGCUUUCUAAGAAACUGUGUGCUAUUCAGUGACUUCUUGUCAAGGUGGCAGUGUUCCAUAUCCUACUCUUGAGACUUUGUUCUUUCUUCAGCAAUGGAGUAUGAUGGUAGCCUCAUCAUGGGAGUCCCUCAUGAACACCGGAUGAGAUCAGAAGCCAGAGGUGUGGAAAGUGCAGUACAGUUUUCCCUGUGAAGUUGUCCCUUCCAGCCCUUCUGUUCUCCCUGCCCUGUCCUUGUGCAUGGCUCUGUUACUGCAGCACCCCCACUCCCACACUAUUGAAUUCCUGGUACUCUCAGAUUCUGUUCUCAUCCAUACCUCCCUCCACCUCCCUCUAACACCACCUCAGUGACAUUACAUGAAUAUACACAGAUGUGUAUAUACAACUUCUCUGAUGCCGACUCCUUCUAUCCUGAGCCUCAGUCCCACACUUGUGCACCCAGAGCCCCCAGUUCACUCCCACCUUUCCUGACUGAAGAAGUCCCAUUUGCACCAACCUCACAGCCUUCCUGGUAUUCCCAGAGCAUUCCAGGAAGUUCCUGCUCCAGGGCCUCUGCACAUGCCACAUGCCUCCUCCCCUCUCUGUCAGAUCUGUGUCCCAUGUCUACUGUUCCAGGGGACUUUUUUCAGUCAUCACGGCAGAGAUUGUCACUGCCCCUCCCAGCCUCCUCACUCUGUCUUUCAAUGUUUUAGUUCCACGUUCAUUUGCACAUUA